rnacentral:sRNA from 1 species
UUUUAGCCCCGAUAGCAAUAAAAAUCCUUUUCUUGUUUUUCUUUAAAACAAUAAAAGAUUGAAAUGGGAAGCGGGAAUAGCU